rfam:Enterococcus faecalis V583, complete genome.
UGAAAAACAGAGAACAGAAGAGUAACUGUUUCCUUUAGUGAAGAGAGUCUUUGGUUGGUGGAAAAAGACGUAAAGAAACAGCGAACCACAUCUGGGAGUUGACUUUUUGAACCCUUAGUAGGAAAGUCCGGGACCACUCGUUAACAGGCGAAGUUAUGAACUUCAUAAGGUUCGUGUUGCGAAACACGAAUAAACUAAGGUGGAACCACGAUAAUUGAUUAUUCGUCCUUUGG